rnacentral:rRNA from 1 species
GACGAACGCUGGCGGCGUGCUUAACACAUGCAAGUCGAACGGAAAGGCCCUGCUUUUGUGGGGUGCUCGAGUGGCGAACGGGUGAGUAACACGUGAGUAGCCUGCCCUUGACUGUGGGAUAACUUCAGUAAACUGGGGCUAGUGCCGGAUAGGAGCUCAUGCUGCAUGGUGGGGGUUGGAAAGUGUCGGCGGUUGGGGAUGGACUCGCGGCUUAUCAGCUUGUUGGUGGGGUAGUGGCUUACCAAGGCUUCGACGGGUAGCGGGCCUGAGCGGGUGACCGGCCACAUUGGGACUGAGAUACGGCCCAGACUCCUACGGGAGGCAGCAGUGGGGAAUAUUGCACAAUGGGCGGAAGCCUGAUGCAGCAACGCCGCGUGCGGGAUGACGGCCGUCGGGGUGUAAACCGCUUUCGCCUGUGACGAAGCGUGAGUGACGGUAACGGGUAAAGAAGCACCGGCUAACUACGUG